rnacentral:rRNA from 1 species
GCAUACGGCUCAGUAACACGUAGUCAAUCUAACCUAUGGACGUGGAUAACCUCGGGAAACUGAGAAUAAUCCGCGAUAGAUCAUAAUUCCUGGAAUGGUUUAUGGUCCAAAUGAUUCGUCGCCAUAGGAUGGGACUGCGGCCUAUCAGCUUGUUGGUGAGGUAAUGGCUCACCAAGGCUAUUACAGGUACGGGCUCUGAGAGGAGAAGCCCGGAGAUGGGUACUGAGACACGGACCCAGGCCCUAUGGGGCGCAGCAGGCGAGAAACCUUUGCAAUGUGCGCAAGCACGACAAGGUUAAUCCGAGUGUUUCCUGCUAAAGGAAUCUUUUGUUAGUUCUAAAACCACUGAUGAAUAAGAGGUGGGCAAGUUCUGGUGUCAGCCGCCGCGGUAAAACCAGCACCUCAAGUGGUCAGGAGGAUUAUUGGGCCUAAAGCAUCCGUAGCCGGUUCUGUAAGUUUUCGGUUAAAUCCACUAGCUUAACUAAUGGGCUGCCGAAAAUACUGCAGAACUAGGGAGUGGGAGAGGUAGACGGUACUCGGUAGGAAGGGGUAAAAUCCUUUGAUCUAUUGAUGACCACCUGUGGCGAAGGCGGUCUACCAGAACACGUUCGACGGUGAGGGAUGAAAGCUGGGGGAGCAAACCGGAUUAGAUACCCGGGUAGUCCCAGCUGUAAACGAUGCAAACUCGGUGAUGCAUUGGCUUAUGGCCA